rnacentral:tRNA from 1 species
GGAAAGAUUCCUGGCUCAGUGCUAGAGCGUCUGCUUGGCAUGCAGAAUGUCCCAGAUUCAGACCCUGAUGGUCUCUCCA